rnacentral:rRNA from 1 species
GACGAACGCUGGCGGCGGGCUUAACACAUGCAAGUCGAACGGAAAGGCCCUGCUUUUGUGUGGUGCUCGAGUGGCGAACGGGUGAGUAACACGGGAGUAACCUGCCCUUUACUUUGGGAUAACUUCAGGAAACUGGUGCUACUACCGGAUAGGAGCUCCUGCUGCAUGGGGGUGGUUGGAAAGUUUAGGCGGUUGGGGAUGGACUCGCGGCUUAUAAGCUUGUGGGUGGGGUAGUUGCUUACCAAGGUUUUGGCGGGUAGCCGGCAUGAGAGGGUGACCGGCGACAUUGGGACUGAGAGACGGACCAGACUCCUACGGGAGGCAGCAGUGGGGAAUAUUGCACAAUGGGCGGAAGCCUGAUGAAGAAACGCCGCGUGCGGGAUGCAGGCCUUCGGGUUGUAAACCGCUUUAGCCUGUGACGAAGCGUGAGUGACGGUAAUAGGUAAAGAAGCACCGGCUAACUACGUG